GUGUGCCGGCAACCCUGGGGCGAGGGGGCGUGAGCGCAGCCGGCUCAGCGCCUGGCGAGUACCUGGCUGGCACUCCCCCCGCGCCGCCGCUCGGGGGGCGGGGGGCGGUCCCGCAGCUGUUCUCGGGGCCACGAGGGGGCGGGCCGCCUGCGGGGCUCCCGGACCUAGUUGGGGCGGGGAGAAAGGCGGGGGCGUCAGCGGGCACCUAUUUCAGCGGUCCUGAGUGCGGACUGCAAGGCUGCCUAGUGUCGGUUUGGGGCGAGCGGACUGUGGCGGGGCCGAAGAACCUUCGGACAGUGGCGGGCGGGGGUCGGGAGACCCGCAGAUCCGACCCCAAAUCACGGCCCUACCCCCAUCUGGUGGCGGCGUGACAGUUGGUACCUCUGGGUCCGAUCGCAGCUGGCCAGGCACUCUGAGUUUCGGGGUACCUCCGAGCCACCCCCCUCCCCCGCUCGAUGUCCGUGGAUAACAUAACAGCUGAUCUGUCCCGCUUAACCCGCAAAGCUGCUGGGGGCUUUCGCUGAAGCAAACAUUAAAGAUUAAUUUUUUAGGGAUGCCCUGGAGGUCAGGUGGUUAAGAAUCUGCCUUGCAAUGAAGGAGACACUGGUUCGAUCCCGGGUCUGGGAAGAUGCCACAUGCCACAGGGCAGCUAAGCCCUUGCGCCACAACUACUGAGCUGGUGCUCUAGAGCCCCUGCUUCACAACAAGAGACGCCACCGCAACCAGAGAGCAGCCCCCUGCUCAGCGCAACUAGAGAAAGC
ensembl:lncRNA